GAUGAACGCUGGCGGCGUGCCUAAUACAUGCAAGUCGAGCGAACGGACGAGAAGCUUGCUUCUCUGAUGUUAGCGGCGGACGGGUGAGUAACACGUGGAUAACCUACCUAUAAGACUGGGAUAACUUCGGGAAACCGGAGCUAAUACCGGAUAAUAUUUUGAACCGCAUGGUUCAAAAGUGAAAGACGGUCUUGCUGUCACUUAUAGAUGGAUCCGCGCUGCAUUAGCUAGUUGGUAAGGUAACGGCUUACCAAGGCAACGAUGCAUAGCCGACCUGAGAGGGUGAUCGGCCACACUGGAACUGAGACACGGUCCAGACUCCAACGGGAGGCAGCAGUAGGGAAUCUUCCGCAAUGGGCGAAAGCCUGACGGAGCAACGCCGGGGGAGUGAUAAAGGUCUUCGGAUCGUAAAACCCUGUUAUUAGGGAAGAACAUAUGUGUAAGUAACUGUGCACAUCUUGACGGUACCUAAUCAGAAAGCCACGGCUAACUACGU
rnacentral:rRNA from 1 species